GACGAACGCUGGCGGCGUGCUUAACACAUGCAAGUCGAACGGAAAGGCCCUGCUUUUGUGGGGUGCUCGAGUGGCGAACGGGUGAGUAACACGUGAGUAACCUGCCCUUGACUUUGGGAUAACUUCAGGAAACUGGGGCUAAUACCGGAUAGGAGCUCCUGCUGCAUGGUGGGGGUUGGAAAGUUUCGGCGGUUGGGGAUGGACUCGCGGCUUAUCAGCUUGUUGGUGGGGUAGUGGCUUACCAAGGCUUUGACGGGUAGCCGGCCUGAGAGGGUGACCGGCCACAUUGCGACUGAGAUACGGCCCAGACUCCUACGGGAGGCAGCAGUGGGGAAUAUGGCGCAAUGGGCGGAAGCCUGAUGCAGCAACGCCGCGUGCGGGAUGACGUCCUUCGGGUUGUAAACCGCUUUCGCCUGUGACGAAGCGUGAGUGACGGUAAUGGGUAAAGAAGCACCGGCUAACUACGUG
rnacentral:rRNA from 1 species